GAUGAAGAACGCAGCGAAAUGCGAUAAGUAAUGCGAAUUGCAGAAUUCCAGUGAGUCAUCGAAUCUUUGAACGCACAUUGCGCCCGCCAGUAUUCUGGCGGGCAUGCCUGUUCGAGCGUCAUUUCAACCAUCAAGCCCCCGGCUUGUGUUGGGGACCUGCGGCUGCCGCAGGCCCUGAAAAGCAGUGGCGGGCUCGCUGUCACACCGAGCGUAGUAGAUUUCAUCUCGCUCAGGGCGUGCUGCGGGUUCCGGCCGUUAAACCACCUUCAUAACCCAAGGUUGACCUCGGAUCAGGUAGGAAGACCCGCUGAACUUAAGCAUAUCAAUAAGCGGAGGA
rnacentral:misc_RNA from 1 species